GCCGUGGGCAGCAGACUCCAGUUUCUUCAUCUUUGAAGCUGGGGCUCCUCCUCGGGAUGCUCCUGGGUACUUCAGGCCUUCAGUAGGGGGCUGACCCUGCAUCUGUCUGUGAUCCCACCUUUGCCUUGACUUCCAACUUCCUAAGCUGAGCAGUGGUUGGAUUUUCUGGCGCUUCAGCACAUAGAGGGCCACUGAGUUGUUGACGUGGUGCAGUGACAAAGGCUUCAGGAAAUGACUUGACUGACAUUGACAGAAAUCAGUGCUGUGCCGUUGAUGUAUGUCAUCCUGGAAGGUGCAUAUCCACUUUUUCCAGCCCCAUGUAUUGAAGAAUCUUUUCUUUCCUCAUUGAGUGUCCUCCAUACUCC